rnacentral:misc_RNA from 1 species
GCGUCGCAAUACAAGGCGACAACCAAAUCAUAGACGCACCCCCUCCCUAGAUUGUCUGCCCGCGAUUGGGUCCCAGCAACGCGAAGGCACGCCUAUACACUGCAACGGCACUCACUCACGCGGAGUCGGUAGGUGCGCUGAGAGCUCAUAAUUUUUCUCUCACCGUCACUCUUCCGCCUGCCCUCGUUUCCUGCAGAGCACGUCGGCUGAAAGUGGCGCGCUGAUGGCGGCAAAUUCGCAGUCUAGCGCCGUGGAUCUGCUGCGCUUUCUUGCGAUCUCGCUCGCCGUGCACGCCGACGCCAUCUGCUGCGCCGUAGACGACGUCGAGGCCGCCAUUGUAGAGUUGUCCACAAAUGAUGAGCUUCUUGAAGCCCUCGAAAAUGAGUUGGCCGCCUUGCUCGAUAGGCAGCGGCGACUGCACGUGACCCGCUCCAUGAUUGCCCUCUCGCAGGAUGAGCGGCGCCGUGGCAUGGAGCUGCGACGAUGUUGGCGACCGUCGACGCAGCAGCACGGCAACAAGCGAAUUCAAACGUCCCGCACACCAUCGAGCAGAUCGGCAUCCCUGAAGCGCGGCACACCUCGUCAUCCAGGCGAGGCGUUGUCCAUGGAUCUGUCCGCAGAUGAACCUCAGCAGGAGUAUGGAGCGUCGGCGGUGCCGACACGGGGGCUUUCCACGGCUACAUCAUCGACUGCGCCGUGCACGGAGUCCGACGCGGACUCGGUGGACGCGCAAGUCGAGCGGCUCAAAGCGAGGAUCAUGCAUCUCGACCGCUACUCGCUGCGCGGCAAGCUCCUCCACCUAGAAAGCCAGAAAAACGCGGUCAAAGAGAUCGACCUUGAAGAACUGGUGGCAAGGGUGGUGGACCCUUUCGAGUUCCCAGCCUCCGUGCGAGCUCUUUGGUGCAGUGCCGCAUCCCCGCGCUCCACCGGCUCUCAGGCAAGCUCCUGUGCACCGUUGACAGGAGCCUCUCAUCGCCGCUCGCGCUCUGGGGAUAUCACUCUUGCCCAGCACGCAACGGGUAAGGGUGGUGUGGUGAACCACACAAACAUAGACCUGCUACUGGCGCGGGCAUGCCAGCGGCUCUCUGGACGUGCCGCUGACGCAUUAGAGGCGCUGGCGUCGACGAACGUCUCUGAGGCGAGCGCAGCAGCGCAUCUGCUGGGAUGCAUGGUGUACGCUGCCGAGUUGGACUCCAGCGGGAGCACCGACCUUGCGGCAGUGCAGCAGCUGCAGACGAUGCCGCGAGAUACUCUCUCCCAUCUCUAUGACCAGUGCGUGCGCAACAGUGUUUGCGAGGCCAAGCUGGACGGCCGCUGCUUCGGCGUUCGCGGCACCGUGCUGGCAGCCCAGGAUUUCAACGCCCUCCCUGCGGAGUGGGCCACAUCGCAGUCGCUCAGUCACGUGCCGCUAGAUGAGAUCCUACCCCCCGUUCGGCAUUUGUUAUCGCCUCGCUUCAGCUUCGCGGAUGUGGCGGAGCUGAAGCAGCUACAGGAGAAGCGGGUGACCUUGCAGGAGAAGCUUGUGAAGCUCCUGGUGGAUGGGCAGGAAAAGGAUGCGGAGCUGCUGCGAGACAUUGCCGGGAGUCAGCGCGACCGCGCGGUCGCAGCGGCACGUCUGGCGGUUGCCGAGAUGUCCCCCGCCUCAACAUCGGCGCACGCGUGGAAGACAAUGGUCCUGGUGCGUGAUGAUGAGCGCUGACAGCCUCUCGACGGUGGAUCGUAAUAGCGCCUUUGCGGACACACUUGUGCUUGCCGAGGAUGGGGUUUCUGCCUGCGGGGCGCUGGUGCGCCCCACCUGCAGUGUGCGUCUCUUUCCGUAUUCGUAUUAUGAUUUGUUCUCCGUUUUUUCGGGCAGGCAUCAUGGUGCUUUUCAGGGCGAUAGCGGGAAUUCCGACACGCACUGCGUGUGGCCUACAGACUGCCGUUUGGUCGGUUUUGUUGUUCUUCCUACUUCUGGCUGGCUUUGUCAUUGAGGAUAACGUCGCGUGUGC